UCCUCUUUAAAGAAUGCCAUUUUAAGGGUCUCGUGGCUGAAGAUGUCUAUAUUUGCCAUAAGGAAGCAUGGAGGGCUUUUACCAGCGGUCAUAGUGGCUGAUAUUUCAGUAGCUUUGUGUCCCUCCUUUGGGUUUAUUUGGAAUGACCCCAGUUCAGUUUUAUGUUUCUUGCAGUGCCGUGUUAAAUACAGCAAUGGUCGGAAACAACAGCAAGCCUGCCCAAGUGCUUCAGUCCGGUGCGUUACAAUAAGCGCUGUUUAAAAUGCGUCUGAAGAAGCAGCAAAAUGGAAGACUGCCCUCUAACGUCAACAGAGCCACCGGAGGGGCUGAAAUGCAGCGAAGGGAUGUGGAGGAGGAUUGAAAUGGGCCUCAACUUCUGCAGAAAACCCUUCAGAAUGCCAAACAGAGCUCAUUGUGUUACUACGUGGGUGUUUGAAAAGGUGGGAUCCCUGAGAAGUGAUUCCGAGAUAAUCCAAAGCAAGCUGGGCUUUCAAGCUGCUAAGAUGCCAUAAAAAGAGAACAGAGUGCCCAGCCUUGGAGGGCUGCUGCCUUAUAGAAUCACAGAAUGGCCUGGGUUGCAAAGGCCCACAGUGCUCAUCCAGUUCCAACCCCCUGCUGUGUGCAGGGUCACC